UCUCCGUAGGUGAACCUGCGGAGGGAUCAUUAUAGAGUUCAUGCCCUACCGGGUAGAUCUCCCACCCUAUGUUAUUAUUACUUUGUUGCUUUGGCGGGCCGUUAGGCUCCGGCCCGACUACCGGCCCCGGCUGGUAAGCGCCCGCCAGAGGACCCAAAACCCUGAAUAUUAGUGUCGUCUGAGUACUAUAUAAUAGUUAAAACUUUCAACAACGGAUCUCUUGGUUCUG
rnacentral:misc_RNA from 1 species